GCCCAGACUCCUACGGGAGGCAGCAGUGAGGAAUAUUGGUCAAUGGGCGGAAGCCUGAACCAGCCAAGUCGCGUGAGGGAAGAAGGCCCUGCGGGUCGCAGACCUCUUUGGACGGGGAGCAAGGCCGCCGACGUGUCGGCGGAAGGAGAGUACCCGUAGAACAAGCAUCGGCUAACUCCGUGCCAGCAGCCGCGGUAAUACGGAGGAUGCGAGCGUUAUCCGGAUUUAUUGGGUUUAAAGGGUGCGCAGGGGGCCUGUUAAGUCGGGGGUAAAAGCCCGGGGCGCACCCCCGGCGAGCCGUUGAAACUGGCGGGCUGGAGUUGGAGAGAAGUACGCGGAAUGCGCGGUGUAGCGGUGAAAUGCAUAGAUAUCACGCAGAACUCCGAUUGCGAAGGCAGCAUACCGGCGCGCAACUGACGCUCAUGCACGAAAGCGUGGGUAUCGAACAGGAUUAGAUACCCCUGUAAC
rnacentral:rRNA from 1 species